GAUAAUUACGUCGGUUCACCCAAACCGACGUUUUAUGUAAAAUUUACGUCGGUCGGUCUGCCCGCCACAAUAUACUAACAUAAUAUGUCGGUUUUUUGGACAUUUCGUCGGUUUAAACCGACGUAAUAUAAUUUUAUUUUAUUUGUAUUUACAUUUUCUACCUCGUCUCUCUUCUCAUCUGGGUCAGAGCUAGCUUGAAAAAUUCGAUGUCUCUCUUCUCUGUUAGCUAGUUUCUCUUCUCCACCACUGCCUUCGAUGGAUCUCACCACCGCACUCGUAUAGAUCUCACCACCGCAUUCGAUGUCUCUCUUCUCGUCUGGCUCGAUCUAGAUCUCUCUUCUUCCAGAAAUCCUUCUCUUUCCAGAAUCUCGAUCUCGACCUCUCUUCGAUUUCUCUUCUUGAUCGUGUCCUCAUCUUGAUCUCUCAGGGCUAUUGACAAUUUCUGGUGGAGAUGGCUUUCUAGACUUAUCUCCAUUUACUUGUUAUCUCUCAUUCAGUUGAUUCUGAUUUCUCUUGUUGGGAUUCUCUUCUCUCCUAAACUUUGCUGGGUGAAACUGAAACAGUCAUGCCAAUUGAUAAGUCAUGGAUUAGCAAACCGCGAAAUACGGUUGAAUAUGCUGAUGGGUUAGCUAAAUUUUUGGACUUCGCGUUCAUGCAUAAGUCCAUUGAGGGUCGUGGGGGCUGUAAAAUUGUGUGUCCAUGUUCAAAUUGUGGUUGCAAGAAGUGGCAAACAAGGGAUGUAGUUCAAGAGCACUUAACUUGUCGGCCUUUCCCUCAAAAUUACAAAUUUUGGAAUUGGCAUGGCGAAGGAUCAAACAUAGUUGAAUCUGGGGCUUCUGAACAAAGACAUGUCAAUGAAGAUAUUUUGCAGCCUCAAGAUCCAAUAGAAAACAUGAUAAAUGAUGCAUUUGGGCAGAAUGUCAAUGAGCUCGGUGAAACUUCUGACCAUUCUGAUGAUGAAUUGGGUGAUGAGACGUGUGAUGGAGAUAAUGCAGAUUUUUAUGAGUUGUUGAAGGACAAUAAUCAACAAUUGUAUGAAGGGUGCAGAAAGUAUUCGAAAUUGUCAUUUCUGAUUAAAUUGUAUCAUAUAAAGUGCUUGUGCAAAAUGAGUGACAAGGCCAUGACCAUGAUAUUGGAAUUGUUAAAAGAUGCGUUUGAAGAUGCAAAGCUUCCUUCUUCAUUUUAUGAGGCCAAGAAAAUCAUCAACAAGCUUGGUCUCAAUUAUACCAAGAUACACGCAUGCCCAU